rnacentral:lncRNA from 10 species
CCCGGGCCUGCGGCCUUGGUAGCCAGGCCACCCGCUGCCCUGAUGAGGCUGCUGGGAGUGAGUAUUCCAGCUCUGCGUGGUCCUUUCGUCUUGUGAAAGAGAAAAACAUUGAACUACAACUUUAAGCUCUUCAUUUGAAGAAAGUUACAGUUCAGACACUGGAGAUUUUUGUCACCAAUAUUUCAAGCUGGGCUCAUCCUUGGAGACCUCGACUGGGCUUCGCCUUCUUCAUUCCAGUGAGGUCACGCACCUCCACCCUGCUCCUGCCUCUGCAGCAUGGAACACAUCAAUUUCCUUGUCAAUGGAGUCUCAGUCUGCCACCAGGCUGGAGUGCAGUGGCACGAUUUCAGCUCACUGCAACCCCCGCCUCCCGGGUUCAAGCGAUUCUUCUGCCUCAGCCUCCUGAGUAGCUGGGGCUACAGGUGCCUGCCACCAUUCCCAGUUAAUUUUUGUAUUUUUAGUAGAGACAGGGUUUCACCAUGUUGGCCAGGAUGGUCUCGAUCUCUUGAUCUCAUGAUCUGCCCGCUUUGGCCUCCCAAAGUGCUGGAAUUAUAGGUGUGAGCCACUGCGCCCAGUCAUUUAUUUUUAUUUUUAUUUAAUUUUAAUUUUUUUUUUGAGACAGAGUAUUGCUCUGUCACCUAGGCUAGAGUGCAGUGGUGCAAUCUCUGCUCACUGCAACCUCUGCCUCCUAGGUUCACACCAUUCUCCUGCCUCAGCCUCCCAAGUAGCUGGGACUACAGGUGCCCGCCACCACACCCGGCUAAUUUUUGUAUUUUUAGUAGAGAUGGGGUUUCAUCAUGUUAGCCAGAAUGGUCUCCAUCUCCUGACCUCGUGAUCCACCCCCUCGGCCUUGCAAAGUGCUAGGAUUACAGGUGUGAGCCACCGCGCCUGGCCUAUUUUUGUUUUUUAAACGGAGUCUCUCUCUGUUGCCCAGGCAAGAGUGCAGUGGUGAGAUCUCAGCUCACUGCAACCUCCGCCUCCAGGUUCAAGUGAUUCUCCUGCCUCAGCCUCCCAAGUAGCUGGGAUUAUAGGCAUUCACCAUCACAUCCCAUCACAUAAUUUUUGUAUUUUUGGUAGAGAUGGGGUUUCGCCAUGUUGGCCAGACUGGUCUUGAACUCGUGACCUCAAGUGAUCUGCUUGCCUCGGCUUCCCAACGUGCUGGGAUUACAGACGUGAGCCACUGUGCCCAGCCCCUUUGCAAUAUUUUAUAAAGGUUAACCAAUAGGCAUAGAGUCCUUAUUUUACUAUAAUGGAAUAUAAAGCCUUGUCCAUUAAAUAAGAAUAAAGUUGCUUGAUUUGUCCCAGUGAAUUGACUACAAAUG